AUUGAACGCUGGCGGCAGGCUUAACACAUGCAAGUCGAGCGGGGAAGGGUAGCUUGCUACCUAACCUAGCGGCGGACGGGUGAGUAAUGCUUAGGAAUCUGCCAUUUAGUGGGGGACAACAUUCCGAAAGGAAUGCUAAUACCGCAUACGUCCUACGGGAGAAAGCAGGGGAUCUUCGGACCUUGCGCUAAAUGAUGAGCCUAAGUCGGAUUAGCUAGUUGGUGGGGUAAAGGCCUACCAAGGCGACGAUCUGUAGCGGGUCUGAGAGGAUGAUCCGCCACACUGGGACUGGGACACGGCCCAGACUCCUACGGGAGGCAGCAGUGGGGAAUAUUGGACAAUGGGGGGAACCCUGAUCCAGCCAUGCCGCGUGUGUGAAGAAGGCCUUAUGGUUGUAAAGCACUUUAAGCGAGGAGGAGGCUACUGAGACUAAUACUCUUGGAUAGUGGACGUUACUCGCAGAAUAAGCACCGGCUAACUCUGUGCCAGCCGCCGCCGUAA
rnacentral:rRNA from 1 species